rnacentral:rRNA from 1 species
UGUGGGGGAAGUACGCAAAACAUGGAUCCUCAACCGGGAAAAGGAUUGGCUCUGAGGGGCUGGCCGGGGUCCCAGUCCCCGAACCCGUCGGCUGUCCGUGUACUCGAACGCACCCUAUCCGCGGCGACGAGCGGGUCCCGCGUCCCCGAGAACGGUCCUUCGUGGGGCCUUCGGCGUUCGACGCAGCCAACUCAGAAAAUGGUACGAAUUGACAGAUGGAGGGACCGACUGUUUAAAUUAAAACAAAGCAUAGCGAGUGAGUUCCCUGCCGGAAUGUAGCGCAAAUGUGAAUUUCAGCCCAGUUGCUCUAAUGUCAAAGUGAAGAAAUCAACAGAAGGGGGUAGUGGCGAGGGAGUAACUAAGUUACUGUUGCACAUAUCCUAAUUAGUGACUUGCGCAUGAUGGAUUAAUUGGGUACUAACGUUAACUCACAGACAAACCACUAGCCAAGUGGAACGGGACAGAUCCGCGGGAAAGAAAGACUCCUGUUUAGCUUGACUCUAGUCCGACUUUGUGAAAUGACUUGAAGAGGUUUGUAGUAUAAGUGGGAGCCGAAAGGCGAAAGGUGAAAUCUUACCGAUACAUAUUUUAACCUUUAUUAUCACUAUAUUCCGUGAAGAUCGGAAAAGAGAGCGAGUCACUGACCCCAUGCUUUUUGGACCCCACAUAGAGCUUAGCUUGCAGGCCGAAACCGGCGAAGGUCAGUCACAGCGGUGGGGGGAAUGUGGCUGGAAAGGGCGCACAGCCUGUUAACACAGUAGAACGCAGGGUCUCGAUCUAGUAUGAGCUAAAAGAAGAAACAUGAAAAUCUCCAGUGUAUCGGAACAGAAGGGUAAAAGCUUCGUUAUUGAUAUCUGAUUUCCAGCUAACGUAAUACGAACCUGUGAAAGCGUGGCCGAUGAUACGAAUUCCUUUAGAUUCCUUCGGAAUUCGAAGAUAAAGGUGUCUAGAAAAAGUUACACAGGGAUAACUGGCUUGUGGCAGCCAAACCGUUCAUAGCGACGUUGCUUUUUGAUAUCUCGAUGUCGGCUCUUCCUUAUCAUUGUGAGCAAUUCACCAAAGUGUUGGAUUGUUACUCCCACCAGAUUAGGGAACUGGAUUUGCACAGGUUUAUAUGAAUACCUGAGUCGUGAGACAGGUUAGUUUUACCCUAACUGAUGACAGUGGUCUGCAAAUAGUAAUUCAACCUAAGCAACGAGAGGAACCUUGAUAUUCGCAACACCGGAGUCUCAUUGGUUACCGCUGCUGGUUAAAAGCCAGUGGCGCGAAGCACCGUGCGCUGGAUUAUGACGAACGCCCUCUAAGUCAGAAUCCGGGCUUAGAAGCGACGCAUGCCCCCGCCGUACGCUCAUUCUUUGUCACACGCAGUAGGGCCUGGCCCCCAAGGCACGUUCGUUGGCUAAGUCAUCGCGGCGGAAGAGCCGCGGUGGCCGCCUUGAAGUAACAAUUUCCAUCGAGCGGCGGGUAGAAUCCUUUGCAGACGACUUAAAUACGCGACGGGGUAUUGUAAGUGGCAGAGUGGCCUGCUGCCACGCAUCUCCACUGAGAUAUCAUCCACUUUAGUUCAGCUUA